UACGUAGGGGGCAAGCGUUGUCCGGAUUUAUUGGGCGUAAAGAGCGUGUAGGCGGCCAUGUAGGUCCGUUGUGAAAACUCGAGGCUCAACCUCGAGACGCCGAUGGAAACCAUGUGGCUAGAGUCCGGAAGAGGAGAGUGGAAUUCCUGGUGUAGCGGUGAAAUGCGCAGAUAUCAGGAAGAACACCCGUGGCUAAGGCGGCUCUCUAGUACGGUACUGACGCUGAGACGCGAAAGCGCGGGGAGCGAACAGG
rnacentral:rRNA from 1 species